GCUGGCGGCGUGCUUAACACAUGCAAGUCGAACGCGCAGUUUUCUGUAGCAAUACAGGAAGCGGGCGCGUGGCGAACGGGUGCGUAACACGUGGGUAACCUACCCUCAAGUGGGGGAUAACCCGCCGAAAGGCGGGCUAAUACCGCAUAACAUUCCGGCUGCUUCGGCGGCUGGAAUCAAAGCCCGCAAGGGCGCAGGAGGAGGGGCCCGCGGCCGAUUAGCUUGUUGGCGAGGUAACGGCUCACCAAGGCAAUGAUCGGUAGCCGGACUGAGAGGUUGGCCGGCCACACUGGAACUGAGACACGGUCCAGACUCCUACGGGAGGCAGCAGUGGGGAAUCUUGCGCAAUGGGCGAAAGCCUGACGCAGCAACGCCGCGUGGGGGAUGAAGCUUCUCGGAGUGUAAACCCCUUUCGACCCGGACGAAUCCCCGCAAGGGGUUGACGGUACGGGUAGAAGAAGCCCCGGCUAACUACGUGCCAGCAGCCGCGGUAAAACGUAGGGGGCCAGCGUUGCUCGGAAUUACUGGGCGUAAAGGGUCCGUAGG
rnacentral:rRNA from 1 species